UCUUCUGUAGUUCAGUCGGUAGAACCGCGGAGUGUUAAUCCGUAUGUCACUGGUUCCAGUCCAGUCAGGGGAGCCA
rnacentral:tRNA from 1 species